CCUACGGGAGGCAGCAGUGGGGAAUCUUGCGCAAUGGACGAAAGUCUGACGCAGCCAUGCCGCGUGAAUGAUGAAGGUCUUAGGAUUGUAAAGUUCUUUAGCCUGUGACGAUGAUGACGGUAACAGGAGAAUAAGCCCCGGCUAACUUCGUGCCAGCAGCCGCGGUAAUACGAAGGGGGCUAGCGUUGUUCGGAAUUACUGGGCGUAAAGCGCGCGUAGGCGGUUAUGCAAGCCAGAGGUGAAAUGCCUGAGCUCAACUUAGGAAUUGCCUUUGGAACUGCAUGGCUUUGAGGACGAGAGAGGUGAGUGGAAUUCCCAGUGUAGAGGUGAAAUUCGUAGAUAUUGGGAAGAACACCGGUGGCGAAGGCGGCUCACUGGCUCGUUUCUGACGCUGUAGCGCGAAAGCGUGGGGAUCAAACAGGAUUAGAUACCCUGGUAGUCCACGCUGUAAACGAUGAGUGCUAGGCGUUGGCACGCUUGCGUGUCAGUGCGCNGCUACGCGUGAGCACNCCGCCGUCGGGAGGUACGGUCGCGAGAAGUUAAACGUUAAAGUAGUAGUUAGACGGCGUGAGACGUAGACCGACGGACGACGACGGAGGGGAGGUUAGG
rnacentral:rRNA from 1 species